UAUGCCACAAUAAUACUAGGACCAAAUGAGGAUGUUCUAAUAAAAAAAUGACUAAAGGUGGAUUGUCACCUAUAAAUCUGGGACAAAAAAUGGAAUUAACUCAUCUUAGAACCCGAAACCUAUCUACCACCCAAGUGGGUGGAAUUUCUACAUCCAAACCUGACCGACCCGCUGAUCAAAUAGGAGUGAGUACCCAUGGGAUGGAUCUGAAUUUCCAUCCCUAGUAAAAAGUAUCAAGAUUUCAGCCUUUUGUGAGUCUGCAGUCCAUAUUGAAGUGGUUAUUUUGGUUUAAAAAGUAACCCGAAUGCUUAGAUUGAUGAAUUGGCAUGAUUACUAACUCUCAGUCCCAUCACAAACUGGUAAGCUAUCUAAGUAAUUGUUAUUCUGAGUUUUCUUUAUUCCAUUGGCAUUUAUGUCUUUUAUUUUGAGUUGGUGUAUCUUAAUAGGCCACAUCCCUUGCUCCAAGAAAAAAUCUUGUAAAGUUAUGUAUCUCAACAUUGUCUCUUCCAGGGCUAGAAUUUGAUGUUAUAUCUUUUAGUUCCUCUUCAUGAUAGGAAGAAUAUAGAUCAUCUUAGCGUAGAGGAAUAUAAUCAAUCUUAUAUGUUCCAUGGUUCUGUGCCCUUUGAUUUAUUCCUCUACUUCAGUCCAUUUCAUUUGAGGUGUCAAUACCUCAGGCACUCAAAAAAGCUUGCGUUUCCUUCCUAAAUACAACGUGUCACGCUUGGCUAGCAAAGAUGGAUUCUCCUCUCUUUUCCAGCUACCCUCAUUUUCUGAUAUUAUCACUUUCUUUUUUCUUCACACCCUUUCCUUUUUCAGAUUUUCUCCUUCUUGCCAAGAGCCAAAAAUACUCAUGGACCAUUUUUCUUUUUGAAUGCCAUCUACAAGAAACCUGUGGUUUAAUUUGAUACCUCAUGUGCCAAUCACCGUAGCCAUCCUUCUGUGGAGUGUGGAGCAAUUGAGUAUUCAGCUAUCAACUAUGGAAACAAUCUUAUUCAUGCCCAGACCUCCAAUAAUUACUUUAAUUUUUCCAGUACAACGGAAAGUAAUGACAAGAAAGAAAACGAAAGAAGAUCCCAGAGACCCAGACGCAUCUAAUAGUUACAUUAAUUUGAAUCUGAUAAAACAAUGCUACUGCAAUUAUUAUUAUUGGGUAUUAUUUAUCAAUUUGCUAAAGAGUAUAUCUUUCUUUCCCUAAGAAUCUGAGGCUGUUGAUUUU